rnacentral:rRNA from 1 species
GACGAACGCUGGCGGCGUGCUUAACACAUGCAAGUCGAGCGGUAAGGCCCUUUCGGGGGUACACGAGCGGCGAACGGGUGAGUAACACGUGGGUGGACCUGCCCUCAGCUCUGGGAGUAAGCCUGGGAAACCGGGUCUAAUACCGGAUAUGACUCCAUGACGCAUGUUGUGGGGUGGAAAGCCUUGUGCGGCUGAGGAUGGGCCCGCGGCCUAUCAGCUUGUUGGUGGGGUGAUGGCCUACCAAGGCGACGACGGGUAGCCGGCCUGAGAGGGC